UCUACGGGAGGCAGCAGUGGGGAAUAUUGGACAAUGGGCGAAAGCCUGAUCCAGCCAUGCCGCGUGUGUGAAGAAGGCCUUCGGGUUGUAAUGCACUUUCAGUGGGGAAGAAAGCCUUGGGGCUAAUACCCUCGAGGAAGGACAUCACCCACAGAAGAAGCACCGGCUAACUCCGUGCCAGCAGCCGCGGUAAUACGGAGGGUGCGAGCGUUAAUCGGAAUUACUGGGCGUAAAGCGCGCGUAGGCGGUCUGAUAAGCCGGUUGUGAAAGCCCCGGGCUCAACCUGGGAACGGCAUCCGGAACUGUCAGGCUAGAGUGCAGGAGAGGAAGGUAGAAUUCCCGGUGUAGCGGUGAAAUGCGUAGAGAUCGGGAGGAAUACCAGUGGCGAAGGCGGCCUUCUGGACUGACACUGACGCUGAGGUGCGAAAGCGUGGGUAGCAAACAGGAUUAGAUACCCCGGUAGUC
rnacentral:rRNA from 1 species